AAGAGGAGCUUGCUCCUCUGGAUUAGUGGCGAACGGGUGAGUAACACGUGAGCAAUGUGCCCUUGACUCUGGAAUAAGCGCUGGAAACGGCGUCUAAUACCGGAUACGACCUUCGGAGGCAUCUCCUGUUGGUGGAAAGAACUUCGGUCAAGGAUCAGCUCACGGCCUAUCAGUUAGUUGGUGAGGUAAUGGCUCACCAAGACGACGACGGGUAGCCGGCCUGAGAGGGUGACCGGCCACACUGGGACUGAGACACGGCCCAGACUCCUACGGGAGGCAGCAGUGGGGAAUAUUGCACAAUGGGCGCAAGCCUGAUGCAGCAACGCCGCGUGAGGGACGACGGCCUUCGGGUUGUAAACCUCUUUUAGCAGGGAAGAAGCGAAAGUGACGGUACCUGCAGAAAAAGCACCGGCUAACUACGUGCCAGCAGCCGCGGUAAUACGUAGGGUGCAAGCGUUGUCCGGAAUUAUUGGGCGUAAAGAGCUCGUAGGCGGUUUGUCACGUCUGCUGUGAAAUCCCGAGGCUCAACCUCGGGCUUGCAGUGGGUACGGGCAGACUAGAGUGCGGUAGGGGAGAUUGGAAUUCCUGGUGUAGCGGUGGAAUGCGCAGAUAUCAGGAGGAACACCGAUGGCGAAGGCAGAUCUCUGGGCCGUUACUGACGCUGAGGAGCGAAAGCAUGGGGAGCAAACAGGCUUAGAUACCCUGGUAGUCCAUGCCGUAAACGUUGGGAACUAGAUGUG
rnacentral:rRNA from 1 species